rnacentral:lncRNA from 1 species
CCAUUUAAUCAGUUAACACACACACUGCAACUUGUGAGGUUCAACUGAAGCUUAUGAACUGCUGAAUAAUGGUGCUGUAGGGGGAGAACUUAAAAAAAGAACCGAGAAAUUAUUUCUGAGCUCAGCCAAGUUCCCUGUUGGAGCCCAGCUGCCAGUCUGUACCUGUCAAGUCCUUUGCCAGAACCAAGGCAGUUUUCCCUGUGCCUGAGAUGUGUGAACUCAAAAGGAUGUGCGUCACGCUUUUAAGAACUUAUCUUGGCAGUCACACCUUUUCUCCUGCAUAAGGACCUUUGGGAGUGCAGAACGUUCUCAUAGGCUGCAGGUAAAAUGCCAUCCACUGAACCAGCAACCUAAUUUCCUGCAACAGGCUGGAUGUUUUCUUUGGAAGAGGACCACCUAAUAUUGAUAAGGUUGCCUGGCACUGGCAGUACUCACAAGAACUUUUCAGUAAGCACAAGGCGUGUGUCUUUCUCUACAAACAGCAAAUGCAAAUAAAAUAAUAUUAUGGUCAAACAGGUGGAAUGUUUGCAACCUAAACAAGCAUAAGAAUCCCGAGACAAGCUAUGAUGCAUUUCCCAGUAAGUUUAACCUGGAGUUCAGAAGAAUUGAGCACCAGCAUGAAAUACCCUCUCCCCAGCUGGGUGUUAAAUAGUGAUUUCAGGAAGGUAUGAACACUGAAAGAGCAGACCCAGCUUUGGAAGAAGCCAGGGUGCAAAAAGACUGUUGGUCAGGAAAAGCCUUCGACACGUGAAUCUUUUACCAGCUGCAUUUGGCAAAGGUUCAGAAUCAUAACUGGGAAGACAAAGAGGGGGAAGAGAUUCAGCCUGGGGGCUGGUUGAGCGUUCUGACCGUGGUCUGAGCUCUUUGGCUGUUUGAUAAAGCUCUGCAGGUACAAGUUGGCAACUGAGGCUGAACCUGCAAUCUGGCUGCCUCUCCAAAAUGACAGGCUGGGUCCCUGAGCAACACUUAGGGUGAUUUUCUUUGGGUGUUUUCCCAGUGGUCAGCGGCUCCAAAUGGUGCUGGAAAUAGUGUGAGAGGAGCAGCUUGCUGCAGACUGUGCU